rnacentral:rRNA from 1 species
GAUGAACGCUGGCGGCGUGCCUAAUACAUGCAAGUCGAGCGAACGGACGAGAAGCUUGCUUCUCUGAUGUUAGCGGCGGACGGGUGAGUAACACGUGGAUAACCUACCUAUAAGACUGGGAUAACUUCGGGAAACCGGAGCUAACACCGGAUAAUAUUUUGAACCGCAUGGUUCAAAAGUGAAAGACGGUCUUGCUGUCACUUAUAGAUGGAUCCGCGCUGCAUUAGCUAGUUGGUAAGGUAACGGCUUACCAAGGCAACGAUGCAUAGCCGACCUGAGAGGAUGAUCGGCCACACUGGAACUGAGACACGGUCCAGACUCCUACGGGAGGCAGCAGUGGGGAAUCUUCGGCAAUGGGCGAAAGCCUGACGGAGCAACGCCGCGUGAGUGAUGAAGGUCUUCGGAUCGUAAAACUCUGUUAGUAGGGAAGAACAUAUGUGUAAGUAACUGUGCACAUCUUGACGGUACCUAAUCAGAAAGCAACGGCUAACUACGUG